rfam:Giardia lamblia ATCC 50803 SC_578 genomic scaffold, whole genome shotgun sequence.
GCCCGCGUAGCUCAGUGGAUAGAGUGGUAGCCUUCUAAGCUAUAGGUCGCGGGUUCGAGUCCCGUCGUGGGCC